rnacentral:rRNA from 1 species
CGGAUGCGCAGCUUACCAUGCAGUCGGACGGUAAGGCCCCUUUCGGGGGGUACACGAGUGGCGAACGGGUGAGUAACACGUGAGGAACGUGCCCUUGACUUCGGUAUAGCUCCAGGAAACUGGUGGUAAUCCCGAAUAUGAGCCUGGCCUGCAUGGGUUGGGUUGGAAAGCUUUAUGCGGUCAGGGAUCGUCUCGCGGCCUAUCAGCUUGUUGGUGGGGUAAUGGCCUACCAAGGCAGCGACGGGUAGCCGGCCUGAGAGGGUGACCGGCCACAUUGGGACUGAGAUACGGCCCAGACUCCUACGGGAGGCAGCAGUGGGGAAUAUUGCACAAUGGGCGCAAGCCUGAUGCAGCAACGCCGCGUGCGGGAUGACGGCCUUCGGGUUGUAAACCGCUUUCAUCCAUGACGAAGCGCAAGUGACGGUAGUGGGAGAAGAAGCACCGGCUAACUACGUGCCAGCAGCCGCGGUGAUACGUAGGGUGCGAGCGUUGUCCGGAAUUAUUGGGCGUAAAGAGCUUGUAGGCGGUUGAUCACGUCGGAAGUGAAAUUCCAGGGCUUAACUCUGGGCUUGCUUUCGAUACGGGUUGACUUGAGGAAUGUAGGGGAGAAUGGAACUCUCGGUGGAGCGGUGGAAUGCGCAGAUAUCGGGAAGAACACCAGUGGCGAAGGCGGUUCUCUGGACAUUUCCUGACGCUGAGAAGCGAAAGCGUGGGGAGCAAACAGGCUUAGAUACCCUGGUAGUCCACGCCGUAAACGGUGGGUACUAGGUGUGGGUCCCUUCCACGGGGUCCGUGCCGUAGCUAACGCAUUAAGUACCCC